rnacentral:lncRNA from 1 species
CGUGCCGAGACGUCCCUGACCCUUCGCCUCUACCAAUUCAUGCCCCCGUGUUCAUCCUAGUCCAGAUGUCAACAUGCAUUGGAGUAAGACACAGUGGUGCAUAUGACCCUAAAGUAAACUUUGCGGUUUUGCCUUUCUCAAACAAUCCGUGUUCUGCCAUUUUGAAGAGGGUUGAGGGGAUCACCUGAGCAUGAUGGUUUUGGGCAGAUGACUAGGAUGCUUAGGCGGACAUACAAAUCACCUCGCCUAUGUCUAGGAUUUUUGUGUUCCAGCGACUGUCGGUAAGUAGACCUUCGUGCCAAAGGGCGACUUUGGUUUUCGGCAGCGGAUUUUUUUGGAAAAGUCGGGUCGCGAAAUUUAGCCUUUCCUAGGAUCACUACCGAUGCUUCCACGGCACGAAGAUCUUUUCGCUGAACUCUAAUUUUCGAAAGUGAGGUAAGGAGCAAAGGCUGCCGCCAGUAACUACGCCGAGCUGGUGUCAAUGAAGAGCGUAGGCGCGUUUCGUGGCUCUUGGGAGAGAGCAUCUCACCGGUCGGUAGAGCGACGAAAUGAGUUUCAAUAACAUUGACGGAUUCGUUUCGACAAGACUACCUGGACAGGGCCGAGCACACGGCGGGGCCUGCGAGGCCUCCUAAAGCCCCGGCCACGCCUGUGUACGAAGAUGAAACGGGUCAAUGCACCCACGAUAUCCGUGCUCCCCGACAGUCCUGCAGACCUCUUGGGGAUGACCAUUUUCUUUUAAAAUGGAAGAAGGGCGUUCAUUGAAGAAACACAAAGACAACUGAUUCAUUUCCUAGCUGACUGACGGGAACAAUGGACCUGCGUGUAACCAACAAGCGGAACAGACCCUCCGAAAGGAUCUCUCUGCAGGUUAUCCAAGUUUGUGACCUGUGCAAACGAGAACAAACAGGGGAAAGUGUUCUUUCUCAUCUGUUGCUUCCUGCAUUCACGCUGUAUCUGAACUGACUCAGAUCGAUGCCCGAGCUACAUGCUGUGUUUCUGUUUAACUCUUAAGAUCAAACAAGUGGAAAGGACUGCCCAAAGUGUGGUGCAACGAUUUCUCUUGUUGGAGCUUCUCGUACAAUGGCAGUCUGCUACGUGGAUAUAUACGGCCAUCAACCGUGGGUUUUGAUCU